rnacentral:snRNA from 1 species
GCACAGGACCUGGUACCACUGCCUAGAUGCCUCCCAAACAGAUCAAGCCAAUCAACUGUGAAUAGAGGAGGACUGGUCUUUGGUCAAGGGUAUACGAGUAGCUGUGCUCCCCUGCUAGAACCUCCAAACAAGCUCUCCUAAUUUACAUUUUAACUAUUGCCAGAUAUCUAACUUUAUAAGCUAAUUUAAUACAACUUCUUAGACAUAAUU